rnacentral:tRNA from 1 species
GGAGUUUUGGCGUAAUGGUAUCGCAGUAGGUUGCUAACCUAUCCUAUGUAACAGUAGUACAGGUUCGAGUCCUGUAAGCUCCG